AGGACGAACGCUGGCGGCGUGCUUAACACAUGCAAGUCGAACGAUGAAGCCUUUCGGGGUGGAUUAGUGGCGAACGGGUGAGUAACACGUGGGCAAUCUGCCCUUCACUCUGGGACAAGCCCUGGAAACGGGGUCUAAUACCGGAUAAUACUUUCUCUCUCAUGGGGGAAGGUUAAAAGCUCCGGCGGUGAAGGAUGAGCCCGCGGCCUAUCAGCUAGUUGGUGGGGUAAUGGCCUACCAAGGCGACGACGGGUAGCCGGCCUGAGAGGGCGACCGGCCACACUGGGACUGAGACACGGCCCAGACUCCUACGGGAGGCAGCAGUGGGGAAUAUUGCACAAUGGGCGAAAGCCUGAUGCAGCGACGCCGCGUGAGGGAUGACGGCCUUCGGGUUGUAAACCUCUUUCAGCAGGGAAGAAGCGAAAGUGACGGUACCUGCAGAAGAAGCGCCGGCUAACUACGUGCCAGCAGCCGCGGUAAUACGUAGGGCGCAAGCGUUGUCCGGAAUUAUUGGGCGUAAAGAGCUCGUAGGCGGCUUGUUGCGUCGGUUGUGAAAGCCCGGGGCUUAACCCCGGGUCUGCAGUCGAUACGGGCAGGCUAGAGUGUGGUAGGGGAGAUCGGAAUUCCUGGUGUAGCGGUGAAAUGCGCAGAUAUCAGGAGGAACACCGGUGGCGAAGGCGGAUCUCUGGGCCAUUACUGACGCUGAGGAGCGAAAGCGUGGGGAGCGAACAGGAUUAGAUACCCUGGUAGUCCACGCCGUAAACGUUGGGGAACUAGGUGUUGGCGACAUUCCACGUCGUCGGUGCCGCAGCUAACGCAUUAAGUUCCCCGCCUGGGGAGUACGGCC
rnacentral:rRNA from 1 species